CUGCCUCGUGCCUGUCCACCGAACGUCGGCAGGCGAUCCGCGUCGGUCGCGCGAGGUGGUAUGGUUCCCCAGAGGCCGGUUCUUGUGCUGCCUACCCCUUCAGGGGAAGCGGGCCACUUGAUGUAAGCCUCCAUCCGGCGCCCUCCAACGGGCGCAGGAGGACAACGGAGCACCCCCCGCGUUCCACCGAGCCUUCGCCGGUCGCGUGGCGCGCGGGGACGUGCGAUGCUCUCGGACCCAGCGAACGCCGUGGGCGAGGACUCACGUCCCAGUCCCGAUAGAAGCUUCGGUAUAAUGCUGACGGCCGCACCCGCCCCCCGACCGCCCCUGCGGCGCGUGGGCGAGGCGCGGCGUCGCGGAGGAAUGCUACCU
rnacentral:misc_RNA from 1 species